GGGCAACCCUGGUGGCGAGUGGCGAACGGGUGAGUAAUACAUCGGAACGUGUCCUGUAGUGGGGGAUAGCCCGGCGAAAGCCGGAUUAAUACCGCAUACGACCUAAGGGAGAAAGCGGGGGAUCUUCGGACCUCGCGCUAUAGGGGCGGCCGAUGGCAGAUUAGCUAGUUGGUGGGGUAAAGGCCUACCAAGGCGACGAUCUGUAGCUGGUCUGAGAGGACGACCAGCCACACUGGGACUGAGACACGGCCCAGACUCCUACGGGAGGCAGCAGUGGGGAAUUUUGGACAAUGGGGGCAACCCUGAUCCAGCAAUGCCGCGUGUGUGAAGAAGGCCUUCGGGUUGUAAAGCACUUUUGUCCGGAAAGAAAACUUCGUCCCUAAUAUGGAUGGAGGAUGACGGUACCGGAAGAAUAAGCACCGGCUAACUACGUGCCAGCAGCCGCGGUAAUACGUAGGGUGCGAGCGUUAAUCGGAAUUACUGGGCGUAAAGCGUGCGCAGGCGGUCUGUUAAGACCGAUGUGAAAUCCCCGGGCUUAACCUGGGAACUGCAUUGGUGACUGGCAGGCUUUGAGUGUGGCAGAGGGAGGUAGAAUUCCACGUGUAGCAGUGAAAUGCGUAGAGAUGUGGAGGAAUACCGAUGGCGAAGGCAGCCUCCUGGGCCAACACUGACGCUCAUGCACGAAAGCGUGGGGGAGCAAACAGGAUUAGAUACCCUGGGUAGUCCACGCC
rnacentral:rRNA from 1 species